rnacentral:rRNA from 1 species
UGCUCCUACGGGAGGCAGCAGUGGGGAAUAUUGGGCAAUGGGCGCAAGCCUGACCCAGCAACGCCGCGUGAAGGAAGAAGGCUUUCGGGUUGUAAACUUCUGUUCUUAGUGAAGAAGAAUGACGGUAGCUAAGGAGCAAGCCACGGCUAACUACGUGCCAGCAGCCGCGGUAAUACGUAGGUGGCAAGCGUUGUCCGGAAUUACUGGGUGUAAAGGGAGCGCAGGCGGGAAGCCAAGUCAGCUGUGAAAACUUCGGGCUUAACUUGUAGACUGCAGUUGAAACUGGUUUUCUUGAGUGAAGUAGA